GGGCCAAGAUCGGUAGUAACUGUUUGUAUUGUGUUGGAAGAGGAUGUAUUGGCCAGUGUGGUAGACUAGCGGAACGACAGCUGAAACGGCUGAAACAUCGGGAAGAAACGGAGGAGACCAAUAUUAACAAGACCUCGUCGUGGAUAGUUAAGGACAGGGGUCUUGAAGACCUUGACAAGGCGUCCUACAGACGCCCUAAGGACAGCAAAUUCAUUUGCCGUGUUGGACAAGUGCUGUGGUGAGCCUGCAGUUCACUCGAAACGGAAAUCGGCGAGGAGCGGCGAAGCGCAGACCCCUCAGGCUGCUCAGAAAGUUAAGGAGAUGGUAAAUUGUUUCGGCUGCUACAGCUCUCCAGCCCAAGUUGUUGACUGGCUAGUCUUUGACUGCCUCCCAACAUGUUAGUGAGGUCCUGAGCUGAUGUACCCUAUGGCGAAGAGUGAGGCACUAGUUUCCUGAAGUAAUGUAUAGCAUGAGAUGGCACCCAUUCUAAACAGCAGCCGGCACCAACUCUGGCCGACGUUGGAGUAGACAAGACCCAGAUCCUGUGGGGAGGAAAAGUCUACACUAAACUGUAAAAGGGUGUUGGUUUUUCUCACUGAAGCUACCACUCGUGCAAUUUUGAUUGGUGAUCGUGACUUAGUCCUCCUCGUGAUCUACGGCAAGAAAGUUGAUUGUGGCCAUACCUGUUGGAGUAGUAAAGACAAACGUUCAAAUUGCUCUUCUUGAUGUAACCCCCAAGCUGUAGGCUGCUGUUAUUUUAAGAGAAAGUGCAGUGGCCUGUUGGACCACCUGGACAGCGAGGCGCGAGAGUUGGAAGUGUUUCCACCAUUACGUCAGAUACUCCUCUGCCGCAGAUUUGGAAGAUUUGCAAUAUUGUGGGUCCUUCCGACAUAACUUCAGGAACAGUUGCAGAACAAUCGCUGGAAGUGUUAAAUGCUACAGAAAGUAGCAUAGUUGUCAGAAUUAGAGGGCCAAAAAUAUUGAUGGGAAAGUUGAACUUCAGCCCUGAGUUUGAAGGUGUUAAUUGCUUGACAUUCUGAAUUAGGUGGUAUGGAAGAUUACAAUGUCAUCAAAGCAUUGACUGGCUUCAGUGUGGUUGUUCUACUCUGCAAAUCUAUGAAAGUUGGUGAUUGUCUCUGGAGUUGUCUUGGCCUUUUGGAUCUUCU